rnacentral:rRNA from 1 species
GCAAGCGCAUCAUGCAUGCGACCGGGGGCGUCAGUUCGCAUGAAUGAAGCUCAUGGGAAGGCACGGGGAUCCGCACCAGCGGUGGAGCUAGUGUUUUUAUUUGAAGCAACGCGAAGACACUGUACAAGUUCUGACAUCCUCCUCACCGCACCGUACCUGAUGCUCUCUUUCGGUACAGUAAAGACCGUUGGUGCAUGGUGUUCGUCAGCUCGUGUCGUCAGAUGUUGGGUUAAGUCCCGCAUCGAGCGCAACCUCUAUCAUUCAAGCCCAGCGGUUUGCCCGGCCGUUCUGGGGAGGAGCCCAGGGAUAACCCGUCGGAAGGCGCGGACGAUGUCAAAUCCUCUUGCCCCCAGUGAAUCCGGAUACACCUUGCCCCCAAUGUAUUAAACAAAGGGAAGGGAGAGGGUGAGCCGGGGCAAAUCCCAAAAAUAACGUCCCAGUUCGGACUGUAGUAUGCAACCCGAUUACAAGAAGCUUGAUUCUUCAGUAGUCGUGGAUCAGAAAGGGUUUCCGACUACGUUCAAUAUUCUUCAACUCACCCUCCGUC